rnacentral:rRNA from 1 species
CGUUUGAUGAAUUCAUAGUCAAACGAGGCGAACCGGGGAAACUGAAACAUCUCAGUACCCCGAGAAAAAGAAAUCAACCGAGAUUCCCCCAGUAGCGGCGAGCGAACGGGGAGCAGCCCAGAGUCAACAUCAAUAUUUACCACAGGAGAAGGGUCUGGAAAAGCCGGCAAUAAAGGGUGAUAGCCCCGUAUCUAAAGCGGUAAGUGUUGUGAACUCGAAGAGUAGGGCGGGACACGUGUUAUCCUGUCUGAAUAUGGGGGGACCAUCCUCCAAGGCUAAAUACUCCUGACUGACCGAUAGUGAACCAGUACCGUGAGGGAAAGGCGAAAAGAACCCCGGCGAGGGGAGUGAAAUAGAACCUAAAACCGUGUACGUACAAGCAGUAGGAGCACCCGAAAGGGUGUGACUGCGUACCUUUUGUAUAAUGAGUCAGCGACUUAUAUUCUGUAGCAAGGUUAACCGCAUAGGGGAGCCGUAGGGAAACCGAGUCUUAACUGGGCGUUAAGUUGCAGGGUAUAGACCCGAAACCCGGUGAUCUAGCCCUUAGUCUGUUGAAGGUUGGGUAACACUAACUGGAGGACC